rnacentral:rRNA from 1 species
AUUGAACGCUGGCGGAAGGCCUAACACAUGCAAGUCGAGAGAGCGGCGGACGGGUGAGUAAUGUAUGGGGACUGCCCGAUAGAGGGGGAUAACUACUGGAAACGGUGGCUAAUACCGCAUACUAUUGGAUAACCCAUAUGGGAUUAGCUAGUAGGGGGGGUAAAGGCUCACCUAGGCGACGAUCUCUAGCUGGGCGGAGAGGAUGAUCAGCCACACGGGGACUGAGACACGGCCCAGACGCCUACGGAGGCAGCAGUGGGUAUUAUUGCACAAUUGGCGCACGCCUGAUGCAGCCAUGCCGCGUGUAUGAAGAAGGCCUUAGGGUUGUAAAGUACUUGCAGCGGGGAGGCGUUACCCGCAGAAGAAGCACCGGCUAACUCCGUGCCAGCAGCCGCGGUAAUAC